rnacentral:rRNA from 1 species
CGCCCGUCGCUCCUACCGAUUGGAUGUGCUGGUGAAGCGCUCGGACUGGCUGCCAGUGGCGGUCUCCGCCACCUGUAGCCGGGAAGUUCGUUAAACCCUCCCAUCUAGAGGAAGGAGAAGUCGUAACAAGGUCUCC